ACGGCUCAGUAACACGUGGAUAACCUGCCCAAGGGUCUGGGAUAACCCCGGGAAACUGGGGAUAAUACCGGAUGGAUCACUAGUGCUGGAAUGCUUGGUGGUCGAAAGGCAACGCCUUUGGAUGGGUCUGCGGCGGAUUAGGUUGACGCCGGUGUAACGUACCGGCGUGCCUGUAAUCCGUACGGGUUGUGGGAGCAAGAGCCCGGAGAUGGAUUCUGAGACACGAAUCCAGGCCCUACGGAGCGCAGCAGGCGCGAAAACUCUACAAUGCAGGCAACUGCGAUAGGGGGACAUCGAGUGGCAUCCACCUUGGGUGCCUGUCCAACCGUCUAAAAAACGGUUGUUAGCAAGGGCCGGGUAAGACCGGUGCCAGCCGCCGCGGUAAUACCGGCGGCUCGAGUGGUGGCCGAUAUUAUUGAGUCUAAAGGGUCCGUAGCCGGCUUUGCAAGUCCCCUGGGAAAUCCAGCGGCUUAACCGUUGGGCUUUCAUGGGAUACUACAUUGCUUGGGACUGGGAGAGGUAGGAGGUACUCGGGGGGUAGGGGUGAAAUCCUGUAAUCCUCCGGGGACCACCGGUGGCGAAGGCGUCCUACCAGAACAGGUCCGACGGUGAGGGACGAAAGCUAGGGGCACGAACCGGAUUAGAUACCCGGGUAGUCCUAGCCGUAAACGAUGCCCGCUAGGUGUCACGACGGUCGUGAAUCGUCGUGGUGCCGUAGGGAAGCCGCGAAGCGGGCCACUUGGGAAGUACGGCCGCAAGGCUGAAACUUAAAGGAAUUGGCGGGGGAGCAC
rnacentral:rRNA from 1 species